GCCCGGGGGGGUACACUCCGGGGGAAACGAGGUGGAAUUUGGUAUUUUAUCCGUGUAUUCUUCCCCAACAAACUUCGCAAUAAUAGGAUGACAGGGGGAGGGGAAGUAGGGGACUUUGACAUGACAAUUUGAAUUUUAUAAGUGAAGUGCACCAUCCCAGGCUCACAGAGAAAAAUAUCGAUCGCCAACUUAUUAUUCAUGAUAUUUUGUAGUGAUCUUGCUAAAAUUUGAAUCAAUAAAUACACAAUACACGAGUGCCAUUGUGAUACCCCAGUUUGUAUGAUAAUUUUUAAUUGUUUGUAUGCUAUUUAUAUUAUGAACUACUUUAUUCUAAGCCCAAGGGGGAGGGCAGUUUGACUUACACAUUUCCUGGGGGAGGGAGGGGGAAUUAAUGCAUUAGAAUCAUGUUUUUUCAAAGUCCCGGGGGUGUACCCCCAGGGCAAGCUGUUGACAUGUGCAUAAGGUAUAAUUUGCUAACUCAAAAGUAGACGAACAGUUUUGAUCAAAGUCUUCAGUCCCAAGGAACAAUCAGUUUCCAUACAAUUCUUAGAAUCUCUCUCAACAAACAAAAUAUCAUAUUGCAUUUUCAUCAAUUUCUAGUAUCAACAUUAAAGCAAACCAAACACAAACAUCAAAAGACAUGAAAUUAAUUGAAAGGUCACAAAGAUUGAGUUUUAGUUCAUUUUGGACGACAUUGUUGUCAGGUUAAAAACAGACCUUUUUGAAGUAUAAACUUACCUUUACAUACUCGUUGAAAAGACCAUGUUCGAGUGCCAUGUAAACCUGUUUUCUUAUAUUAUUAUUAUGACUAUUAAUAACACACCAUUACAAAGUGGAACUAUUUGAAAAUAAUGUUGAACUGAAGCAAAACAAAAAACAUGUAAACACAGAAAGCUAACAAAUUAAUUUUAAUUGC